AUUCAAAUUUCUGCCCUAUCAACUUUCGACGGUAGGGUAGUGGCCUACCGUGGUGGUAACGGGUAACGGAGGAUUAGGGUUCGAUUCCGGAGAGGGAGCCUGAGAAACGGCUACCACAUCCAAGGAAGGCAGCAGGCGCGCAAAUUACCCAAAUCCCAACUCGGGGAGGUAGUGACAAGAAAUAACGAUGCUCCGGCCUCACGGUCGGGUAAUCGGAAUGAGAACAAUUUAAAUCCCUUAUCGAGGAUCAAUUGGAGGGCAAGUCUGGUGCCAGCAGCCGCGGUAAUUCCAGCUCCAAUAGCGUAUAUUUAAGUUGCUGCGGUUAAAAAGCUCGUAGUCGGAUUUCGGGUGGCGCCUACCGGUCCGCCUUUGGUGAGUACUGGUAGGUGCCAUCUUUCUGCCGAGGACGGGGUACUGGGCUUAAUUGUCUGGGCCCCGGAGUCGGCGACGUCACUUUGAGUAAAUUAGGGUGUUCAAAGCAGGCUUAUGCUCUGUAUACACUAGCAUGGGAUGACACGAUAGGACUUCGGUUUAUCUUGUCGGUCUGUAAAUCGGAGUAAUGAUUAAGAGGGACAGUCGGGGGCAUUCGUAUUUCGUAGUCAGAGGUGAAAUUCUUGGAUUUACGGAAGACGAACUUCUGCGAAAGCAUUUGCCAAGGAUGUUUUCAUUGAUCAAGAACGAAAGUCGGGGGCUCGAAGACGAUUAGAUACCGUCGUAGUCUCGACCAUAAACGAUGCCGACUAGGGAUCGGAGGUGGUUUUUUUAUGACCUCUCCGGCACCUUACGAGAAAUCAAAGUUUCUGGGUUCCGGGGGGAGUAUGGUCGCAAGGCUGAAACUUAAAGGAAUUGACGGAAGGGCACCACCAGGCGUGGAGCCUGCGGCUUAAUUUGACUCAACAC
rnacentral:rRNA from 1 species